rnacentral:misc_RNA from 1 species
GCUUAACAUAUUUUAUAUAGAUUAUGAUGGUGCAUCUAGCAAGCUAAAUUUGGUUUCACUUUAGUUACUGUUUGGACCUACAUAUUUCAUCUGAAUUAUGGCAUUUGUAAUCAACUCAACACAACUAAACCUCAUCCUAAAUUGGUUGUCGUUCUUGGUUCUAAUUUUGUUAAAUGAUGCAAUGUUAGAAAUAUUGCCCUCGAUACUGUAUUGAGUGUUGAACUACCAAGCCUCUUCAGAAAUGAAGCAUUGCAUCGUAUGAAUUUAAGAAUUUUGCAAGAUAUAUCAAUAAAAUAUGUGGUCAUCAUUUUAAUAAUAAAUAUUAAUCACGGGUGAUGGAUGAAAGGGUUUGUUGUCAUUUAGCCAUUGAGGCCUGCCUGAGGGUGAAAAGCUUUCAAAGAAAUGAAAACUCCAAGCUACUUUUUGUGCCGAAAGCUUAAUAUGUUGUCCUUAUUCAGUGUUUUCAUGAUGUUCCAAAAUGCUGAAAGUGCUGAAAUUUUUUUUGGGGAAGAAGUUUGGUGCAUUAAUUGUUUUUUAGUAUCCUUUGAUUUGGGUUUUGUCAUAAUAACUUUUUUCUAGCCGAAUGAUACAUUAUUUUCAUGACUUUUUACAGGAUGAUGUAUGGUGUUUUGGUUG